AUGGAGGCGCGCGCAGCCGCCAGCUUCCCUCCCGGAAUCGGGGACGUUGAGGAUGGAAGGGGUUUCUGCGGUCAUCGAGUCCAACCUACGGCCGAACACCAUCUUGUCACCUAGACCGUGGCAGUUGAACAAUCCGGGAAGAGAUGUACAUCGAUGAUGGAGUUAUGGAACCGGAACCGAUAUUGAGAUGCAUCCCCCAGAGAUUCCAGUAAUCCCAAUCUUGGGUAGUUGGUGGGAUGGUCAUCACUUGUUCGUUCCUAGAUUAUCUCAAGAAAUGGCCCAUCUCUGAGCGA